AGCGAACGCUGGCGGCAGGCUUAACACAUGCAAGUCGAGCGGGCGUAGCAAUACGUCAGCGGCAGACGGGUGAGUAACGCGUGGGAACAUACCUUUUGGUUCGGAACAACACAGGGAAACUUGUGCUAAUACCGGAUAAGCCCUUACGGGGAAAGAUUUAUCGCCGAAAGAUUGGCCCGCGUCUGAUUAGCUAGUUGGUGAGGUAACGGCUCACCAAGGCGACGAUCAGUAGCUGGCUGAGAGGAUGAUCAGCCACAUUGGGACUGAGACACGGCCCAAACUCCUACGGGAGGCAGCAGUGGGGAAUAUUGGACAAUGGGCGCAAGCCUGAUCCAGCCAUGCCGCGUGAGUGAUGAAGGCCCUAGGGUUGUAAAGCUCUUUUGUGCGGGAAGAUAAUGACGGUACCGCAAGAAUAAGCCCCGGCUAACUUCGUGCCAGCCGCCGCAGU
rnacentral:rRNA from 1 species